rnacentral:misc_RNA from 1 species
AAAAUUCUUGUGAUAAUAUUUUUACAAAUUAAAGUCCUUUCCUUUAUCUAAUCAAUCAAUCAAUCAAUUGUGUUAGAGACUGCAUGGCUAAGCUAACAUGUGGGAGCUCCUUUGUCCUUCUCCUCGUUUUCUCAGCUACUUUGAUGGUGGUGGUGCCUAAUGGAGAAGCACAAGAAAUCUGCCAUGAUGAAAUUCCAGGAAAUGGAAAUUGUGACGAAGGAACUUGCCAAACACAGUGCUCCAACUUAAACCAAGGCACUGGAAUCUGCACUCAAACUUUUAUAAAUCGCUUCAAUUGUAUUUGCAAUUGGGAAUGUUCUUAAUCAUAACCAGAUAGAGAGAAUUUUUAAUUUGUUUUAUUUAAUUGCCCCAUUUUAAUUUAUUUUCCUCAUUUUCUUCCUACAUUAAUAAAUCUACAGAAAGUUAUAAAUUCUUUCCUUGAGUUACCAAGUGUAAACAUGUACCUUCUAUUGUUCAUCAAAUUUUUAUUAUGGGCG